AAUAGUACUUUUUUCAGAAAU
rnacentral:piRNA from 1 species